UUGCCGGCGGGCGGCCACACCAUCGAUUCGGUCGCCUCCCGCUAGCUGCCCAUGCUGGCCGGGAUCUAAGCUCUGCAGGCCUGCUUUGCCGGUUGCCUGGGUUGCCCCAGCCGCGCAAAGAAGGUUGCAUGUUGCCUGGGAGUCGCCUUGCACCGGUCGUCCUAUCGCCGUCUCUCUCCUCAGUGGAGUAUAUACGCUCAUAGUGGGACGGGACUUUCGGAGGAAUGGAUUCGGGUCGAAGGAGGAUAGAAGUCGUUGAAGGACGCUUUGGGAUCCGAAGGUAUAUCACCGCAAGUGAACGCGGAAGACAAAACCAUUUUGUACACAUUUAUUCUUUUGUGCAAGAGGACAAAUAUAGCAGAGGGACAUUCCUGUUCAUUUGAUUUUGAUUGAUCGAGACAAAAAAAAAGAACAUUGUACUGAGUUAUUUCCCCUUUU